GGCUUCUUGUAUAAUUAAGAGGUCGUACCUGCCCACUGAUAGUAGUUGAAGGGCCGCAGUAAUUCUGACUGUGCUAAGGUAGCGUAAUCAUUUGUCAUUUAAUUGUUGAAUUGUAUGAAUGGUUUGACGAGAAGUUGAAUGUCUCCUGUUGUGUUUAUUGAAUUUUAUUUUUUAGUGAAGAUGCUUGAAUGUUGCUGAGGGACGAGAAGACCCUGUAGAGUUUUAGUGUGUAUUUUCAUAAUUGUGUGAGUGUAUGGUUAUGUAUAUUAUUUAUUUUGGUUGGGGCGAUUAAUUAAGAUACGUAUCUUAAUUUUAGUUUUAAUCAGUGUUGGCUGAAUUUUAUAGAUCCAUUAUUAUUGGUUAAAAGAUCAAAUUACCUCAGGGAUAACAGCGUUAUUGUAUUUUAGAGUUCUUAUCGAUAAUAUAGUUUGCGACCUCGAUGUUGAAUUAGGUUACGUGGAUGGGUGUAGAAGUUCUCUUGGGUAGUCUGUUCGACUAUUGAAUACCU
rnacentral:rRNA from 1 species